UACGUAGGUGGCGAGCGUUGUCCGGAUUUACUGGGCGUAAAGCGCGCGCAGGCGGUUCUGUAAGUCCUGGGUGAAAUCGCCCGGCUCAACUGGGCGGGGGCCUGGGGGACUGCGGGACUGGAGGGGCCUAGAGGCCGGUGGAACUCCCGGUGUAGUGGUGAAAUGCGUAGAGAUCGGGAAGAACACCAGUGGCGAAGGCGGCCGGCUGGGGGGGCCCUGACGCUGAGGCGCGAGAGCGUGGGGAGCGAACCGG
rnacentral:rRNA from 1 species